rnacentral:rRNA from 1 species
UACGAAGGGUGCAAGCGUUACUCGGAAUUACUGGGCGUAAAGCGUGCGUAGGUGGUUCGUUAAGUCUGAUGUGAAAGCCCUGGGCUCAACCUGGGAAUGGCAUUGGAUACUGGCGAUCUAGAGUGCGGUAGAGGGCAGUGGAAUUCCCGGUGUAGCAGUGAAAUGCGUAGAGAUCGGGAGGAACAUCUGUGGCGAAGGCGACUGCCUGGACCAGCACUGACACUGAGGCACGAAAGCCAGGGGAGCAAACGGG